rnacentral:rRNA from 1 species
UACGGAGGGUGCAAGCGUUAUCCGGAUUUACUGGGUUUAAAGGGUGUGUAGGCGGGUCUUUAAGUCAGUGGUGAAAUCUCCGAGCUUAACUUGGAAACUGCCAUUGAUACUAUUGAUCUUGAAUUUUGUUGAGGUAGGCGGAAUAUGUCAUGUAGCGGUGAAAUGCAUAGAUAUGACAUAGAACACCAAUUGCGAAGGCAGCUUACUAAGCAAAUAUUGACGCUGAGGCACGAAAGCGUGGGGAUCAAACAGG